GUGCUUACUUCAGCAGCACAUAUACUAAAAUUGGAACAAUACAGAGAAGAUUAGCCUGGUGCCUUUGCAAAAGGUUAAUAUAUAUGAUAUAUGGAACUGGUAGAAUUUAA